AAAAAGUGCCUAUGAAAUGUUGAAAAAUAUAAUGAGAAGUAUCCAGAAGCUACAAGAGAUAAAUAAAUUCACUCCGAACAACCUUUAGAAAGGAAUUAGCAAAAAUUAAGAGUUCACAGAAAUCUGGGGUUGGUUUAGAUGACGUUUAUGAACCAACGUUAUGGUAUUUUGAUGAGAUGCAGUUUUUAACUGAUCAUGAAACACCUUUACAGCCUACAAGCACAAUAAGCAUAGAGGAGAAUGAGGAAGGGGAUGGCUUAAAUGAAAUAUCAUUGGUUGAUGCGACCACAUCUGUACAAUCCUUCCCACGAAUUCCACUAAAAAAGAAGACCAAGACGGAUCAACGGGAGGAACUACUAACUGGCGUGCAACCGUCUCCGCGACACAAAUGAUGAAUAUGCGAAAAUAGCAAGUGCUUGGGCAGUCGAGUUGCUGGACAUGAAUCAUACCCAAAUGCUACUUGCUAAGAAAGCUAUAAAUUAUAUAUUAUUCGAGGGUCAAAUGGGAACAUUACAUCGCCACUCAGUUGUAAUAAAUGCAUCAAUGAGUACUAGUACCCCAGUAAGUAAUGUAUCUGCAAAUGAAUCAGAAACCCAGUACAGCUUCUGUGACUUAGUUCAGGGAAUGUGAUGACAGAUAAUUCUGUAACAUGAUCAUCACUUCCCAAUAAUUUUCUUCUUUCACUUUGACAGUGGAGUCAGCUUAUGUGUUAAAGGAAUUAUAGUAAUUAUGUACUACAGAUACACAGGAAAAAUUUUCUCUUAUAACAAAAAUUUAUAUGGUCACUGAUAGGAAAGGAUUCUCUACACUACAUAGGCUAUAUUUUAUGGUGUACUAUCAAUAUAAAACAUUAUUUGUGCUAUUGAAAACAUGCUUUCAUAGUGAAUUACCUGUAACAUGAGGAUAUAUUGGACUUUUUUUUCGUUAUUAUUAGUGAAGCCAAACUAUUUCACUAACGUAUUCCACUUUCUUGGUGCAGUUUAUGUUUUCCUGUGUUAUUAAAAAGACGUCAUUUAUUUUCCAAAUAUGAAUAUUGAAAC